UCGGAUUAGCUAGUUGGUGAGGUAAAGGCUCACCAAGGCAACGAUCCGUAGCUGGUUUGAGAGGAUGAUCAGCCACAUCGGGACUGAGACACGGCCCGAACUCCUACGGGAGGCAGCAGUGGGGAAUAUUGGACAAUGGGGGCAACCCUGAUCCAGCCAUGCCGCGUGUGUGAAGAAGGCCCUCGGGUUGUAAAGCACUUUCAGCGAGGAAGAACGCCUAGUGGUUAAUACCCAUUAGGAAAGACAUCACUCGCAGAAGAAGCACCGGCUAACUCCGUGCCAGCAGCCGCGGUAAUACGGAGGGUGCAAGCGUUAAUCGGAAUUACUGGGCGUAAAGCGCGCGUAGGUGGCUUGAUAAGCCGGUUGUGAAAGCCCCGGGCUCAACCUGGGAACGGCAUCCGGAACUGUCAGGCUAGAGUGCAGGAGAGGAAGGUAGAAUUCCCGGUGUAGCGGUGAAAUGCGUAGAGAUCGGGAGGAAUACCAGUGGCGAAGGCGGCCUUCUGGACUGACACUGACACUGAGGUGCGAAAGCGUGGGUAGCAAACAGGAUUAGAUACCCUGGUAGUCCACGCCGUAAACGAUGUCGACCAGCCGUUGGGUGCCUAGCGCACUUUGUGGCGAAGUUAACGCGAUAAGUCGACCGCCUGGGGAGUACGGCCGCAAGGUUAAAACUCAAAUGAAUUGACGGGGGCCCGCACAAGCGGUGGAGCAUGUGGUUUAAUUCGAUGCAACGCGAAGAACCUUACCUACCCUUGACAUCUACAGAAGCCUGAAGAGAUUCUGGUGUGCCUUCGGGAACUGUAACACAGGUGCUGCAUGGCUGUCGUCAGCUCGUGUUGUGAAAUGUUGGGUUAAGUCCCGUAACGAGCGCAACCCUUGUCCUUAUUUGCCAGCGAGUAAUGUCAGGAACUCUAAGGAGACUGCCGGUGACAAACCGGAGGAAGGUGGGGA
rnacentral:rRNA from 1 species